rnacentral:rRNA from 1 species
AAAUUUGAAAUSUGGCGCAAGCCCGAGUUGUAAUUUGUAGAGGAUGCUUCUGGGUAGCGGCCGGUCUAAGUUCCUUGGAACAGGACGUCAUAGAGGGUGAGAAUCCCGUAUGCGACUGGCUCGCACCCUCCACGUAGCUCCUUCGACGAGUCGAGUUGUUUGGGAAUGCAGCUCUAAAUGGGAGGUAAAUUUCUUCUAAAGCUAAAUACCGGCCAGAGACCGAUAGCGCACAAGUAGAGUGAUCGAAAGAUGAAAAGCACUUUGGAAAGAGAGUUAAAGAGCACGUGAAAUUGUUGAAAGGGAAGCGCCCGCAACCAGACUUUGCGGCGGUGUUCGGCCGGUCUUCUGACCGGUUCAUUCGCCGCCGUGAGGCCAUCAUCGUCUGGGACCGCUGGAUAAGACCCGAGGAAUGUAGCUCCMUUCGGGGUGCGUUUAUAGCCUCGGGUGAUGCAGCGCGUCCCGGGCGAGGUCCGCGCUUCGGCAAGGAUGAUGGCGUAAUGGUUGUCGGCGGCCCGUCUUGAAACACGGACCAAGGAGUCUAACAUCUAUGCGAGUGUUCGGGUGUCAAACCCCUACGCGUAAUGAAAGUGAACGGAGGUGGGAACUUUUGGGUGCACCAUCGACCGAUCCUGAUGUCCUCGGAUGGAUUUGAGUAAGAGCAUAGCUGUUGGGACCCGAAAGAUGGUGAACUAUGCCUGAAUAGGGUGAAGCCAGAGGAAACUCUGG